UACGGAGGGGGCUAGCGUUGUUCGGAAUUACUGGGCGUAAAGCGUACGUAGGCGGCUUGGCAAGUUAGAGGUGAAAGCCCGGAGCUCAACUCCGGAAUAGCCUUUGAGACUGCCUCGCUUGAACGUCGGAGAGGUGAGUGGAAUUCCGAGUGUAGAGGUGAAAUUCGUAGAUAUUCGGAAGAACACCAGUGGCGAAGGCGACUUACUGGACGAUUGUUGACGCUGAGGUGCGAAAGCGUGGGGAGCAAACAGG
rnacentral:rRNA from 1 species